CGUGAGCACAAGAUGGCGGUCAGAGGGGCCACAGAGCCCCAAGUAGAAAUUUCACUGUUUCUCUGAGCCUAAAUCAGUUUUAGAUCAUAACUGAACGUUUAUGAGGAACGAAUAAAAUGUGACAAGGGGAAUUCGGCCUGUUCUAGUUCCUUCACAACAUUUGAAAUCAAUUUUAGACUGUACACUCGGAUUGAUAAUGAAAGUGUUCGUCAUGCAAUUGCAUGAUAAAUUAUUCAGUUGGAAAUGAAGAGUGAUCAGAUAGGGAAAAUAAUUUCAGGACUAGAUAAUCUCAUUUUGAUAAAAGACUUCCUUCUCAGUGUGAGCGCAAAAUUAUUUUGGACCAGUGUGAUGAGGAGAGCCCCGGACAAACAUCCGUGCCGAUAUUGCGGGAAAUGAGGGUAAAUAUUUUUCAUCGGGUUUUCCGCGAUAUCGCUGAGGAAAUAUAAACCCUCGGGGAAAGUGGAGUUACUUUUUUCUAAUUUCAAUCACAUGUAUGACUCCGCAGAAAUAUCGUCAUCAAUCCGAAGUGAAUACACAGGUGGGUAGUCUGUCUAUUUAUUUAUCAGGGAUUUGACAAAUACGAUUUAUAUAACAUCAUGCAGGACAAUCUUAUCUACCGAAAUCAGAAUGAAAGAACUAGGUCUCCGCAUACCCAGCGACCUUCGAAAUUCGUCGGAUAAUUCCCUGAAGCUCUCCCACAUGACAAUAAUCGGGAUAAGUUUCGUAAUAAAACCACAUGCGCCAGUUAAUGCACAAAAUUGAUCCUUCUCGUGGCUGUGUAACGAAACUAUCGAGAGAUAUUCCGCAAUUUUGAAGGUCCUGGGGUGUUAGAGCUGAUAAUAAACCGGAUUAUGAGUGAAUUAUUAAACUGAUAAUUCCACAAUACCCUAUCAAUUAU